rnacentral:lncRNA from 1 species
CUGGAGGUGAAAAAAGUAGAUUCUCUGUUGGAAAUGCAGAUUCCCUUUCAGACUGUAGGAGCGAUAUUUUUUCCCUUGCUAUUUGCAGGUGGCCUUCUCCCAUUCCUGAGGUUGUCCUGAGGGGAUGCUGCAGGCUGGUAGCGCUGGGGCUGAGCACGUUUCUGGUCGUCAUAUCCACGUGCUACGGGCAGCCUGAAAAGGACAGCCCAGAGAAAGGAUUUGUUCUGAUGGAUGUCUGAUGGCUGUGCCAUGAUUUGUGUUACCUUCAGGAAGACACAGUGAAUUCGUGUGAUAACUCAAAGCCCUGCACCAAAGUAAGAUUAUCUGCUGUAAGUGAUACAGCACGUGCAUAUGACAG